UUCAAGUUGAGCUACUUAAAAUCACAGGUUGUGCCAGUAAAGCCCAGUAAAGCACUUAGUGACAUUUUUAACACACGUCUUGUUUACGACCCAUCAUGAAGUUUGUACUCGUUUUGUCUGUAGUAGCAUGCAUUACUGCUACUGUUCUUGGUUUUGAGGAGGAAGGGGACGAGAUGGUGUUGUCAAAGGGGUUCUUUGAGAUUGUAAAUGAGAUAUACAGCAAACUUAGGCAACUCCGACACGAGGUAGCGUGCGGACAGACAGUCCAGGAGCUGAUAGAGUUACUGAACCUGCCGGACACUAUGGAGGAUGUGGUGAUAUUCGCUCGGGGCUGGGUUUGCGACAACAUCUGGGACUUUUAGUGACUUUUAGUAACUACAUACUUGACUCUACAAGUAAUUAUUAGUGACUAUUAAUAACUAGCAGUGACUCUUAUUUGUUUUGGAGCACAAUACAACAACCUUUAAUGUCAACAAGGAUAAUAUGUACGAGUUUA